UACAGAGGGGGCAAGCGUUGUUCGGAAUUACUGGGCGUAAAGGGCGCGUAGGCGGCCGCCUAAGUCAGACGUGAAAUCCCUCGGCUCAACCGGGGAACUGCGUCUGAUACUGGGUGGCUUGAAUCCGGGAGAGGGAUGCGGAAUUCCAGGUGUAGCGGUGAAAUGCGUAGAUAUCAGGAGGAACACCGAUGGCGAAGGCAGGUCUCUGGGCCAUAACUGACGCUGAGAAGCGAAAGCAUGGGGAGCGAACAGG
rnacentral:rRNA from 1 species